rnacentral:SRP_RNA from 1 species
GCUGGGCAUGGUGGUGCACGCCUGUAGUCCCAGCUACUCAGGAGGCUGAGGCAGGAGAAUCACUUGAACCCAGGAGGCAGAGGUUGCAGUGAGCCGAGAUCACGCCACUGCACUCCAGCCUGGGUGACAGAGUGAAACUCUGUCUCAA